GAAAAAAAUAAAAUUAAAAAAAUUUAAUUAUAAAAGACUAAGGAAUCAUGGGGAAAAGCCAUGAAUUCCACGAAUACAGCCAUGAAUAUGCUGUAUUCCGCAGCUCUGAAGUUCUACAGUUCUCAUUGAUCGGUGAACAUGGUCUCGGCCAGGUGUUCUCGCUGAUCUUCUGCGUGGAGGGGCCUGUUGCCGGGAUUCUCAUAUGUCUUUGCCUGAGGCAGAAUUGCACCGCCCCUGCCAGGGGCGGGGCUAAGUAAUGGCAGGUUCCUGCUCAGGAGCUUUUGUUCCCUGAGCGCUUUCCGUAGAGCUCUGGAGGGCGGGAAUGAAGAUGGCGGCGCCCAGUCUGCCCCAGGGAGCUGAGAGGUUGGGGCCCCACUCCUCAGUGCGCCCUCGGAGAAAAGCCGUCAGCGCCUCCCGUCUCUCUAGUCUCUGGCCAAGCUCCAAGCUCACUGGCCUGUGAGCGAGCGUUUCUGUCUCUGGCGCUCAGCCCUGUUUGAAGUCUCCAAACCCAGCGGAUUCCUGCUGCGCUGCUUCUCCCAGAGGAGGAAGAUGGCACCUUCUAAUGGGAGAGAAGUCCUGCUGGCCAUCCACCUCUUUGCUCUCCACUGUGUUCCAUGAGCUUUCCUCUGGACCACUGGAUGGAACCCUGCACUGACAUUCCCAGAACACCUCGGCCAACCUGCUUCGAGGAAGAGUCUGAGGUGAGAAUUCUAGGUUUCCUGCAAGGAAGAGCUCAAAAAUGGUCAUCUGCCUUCUGGAGUCCCAUGAGCCCAUCUGAGCUAUCACGGAGCAGCCUGGGAACAAUUACUCCAGAGUUCCACUUUCAACACCAGAACACAUGCGCUUAUCCGAUAUGCUGUUCCAAAUGCCAAGCUUUCCAGAAGAAGAGUCAAUCCUUCCUGUCUCCACUCAGCCCUGACCUUCUAAAACCUGUGCAGAUUGUGAGGCCUCUUCUGCCAGGAUCUUCCUCUGUCCUGAGCUGUUCUCAAGUACCAGAUUUUACAUUUAUCUACUUUGCUGAUGCAAAGGAACUGCGAGGCACAUAAAUUUCUCUGGGAAGGUUAAGCCCAGGAGCAUAAUUUCUCCUUUCUUUAUGCUUGUCUACUCUUCAGAACAGGUGUUAUUACCAAACAUAGUUUCAAGGGUGGAAAAUCUGAAAGGAUGAAAUAAUCGUAACAUCUUGGGGAAAAAACUGUGCAAGAACGAAAGGGAGAUAUGUUAGUAAAUAUUUGUUAACUUUCACACAUUUUACUGACUGUUAGAAAUAUUUUGCUUCAUCUUGCUUGAUUGUAAUA
rnacentral:lncRNA from 1 species